AUCCUCCGUCACAUCGACCACUGGCUGUCUCUUUCCGACCAUGGUACUAAACCACUCAUUCUCCGUCUUCUCUGUCGUGAUAUGAACCUAGAGACGUCGCAGAUCGUCUUCGCCGGACCUUAUCUGAACGAAGAAGAAAGAGAGACGAUAGGGAAGGAUUACAAUCUGUUCAAUAUGGGGCUCAUGACUCUACCGUUGGACCUCCCUGGUUUUGCUUUCCGCAAGGCUAGACUCGCCGUGUCACGUCUUUCGGAUACUCUGGCCAAGUGCGUGCGUCGGAGCAGGGAGAGAAUGACGUCGGGGAAGGAGGAG
rnacentral:lncRNA from 1 species